GACACCUUAUUCCAUGCAUGGAUUCAGUAGGACUAGGCUUGAAGUUUCGGGUGCUACUCAGUUAAAGGUUGAGACCCAUGGCACAAUGAGUGUCUGACUCCCGUUAACUUCAAAGUGAAGUAAAGAUGUUCUGUUCGAAGGAGGUGCUCAGUCCCUUGCAGAAGUGGGGUCUUCAUGAUUCCAUUACUGUUUCCGCUGUGUGUGUUCAAUAAAGGAAAAGCUGGUUUGCUUGGAGAAAGUGAAAAGAUGCAAAAAGGUGCAGUGUGCUCAGCAGAGCUGAAUAAUGAACUACAAAUCUCAAUGAAAAGUGACAGUCGUCUGCUAUUGAAGAUCAGGAACUACUGCUGAAAAGCUAAAGCCUAAUAUCACACAGCAGCAAAUUGCGGGGGAACAGGGGUAACCGACAAAGGACACAACCGAACCAAUGAAAUUAAAGUACCAGAGAGGGUAGAACAACAAAUACUGGAAAAAAAGAGACCACAGAAGGAAGAGACAAAGGAGAAGAAAAGGAAGUGCCCUUUCACAGUAUUUUAAUUUAAAAUUACUAACUGAUUGGCGUGAAACCCUUAAGUAAUACCAAUUUGGGCUUUGGAAGGAGAGUUCUUUUAUGACUGUCUUGUUUAGAAUAUAAUUACAGCCUCUCUUGUUAAACUCAAAGUGGCCUCUAAAGCAUCUCUAAAAGAAGGAGAAAACUACAUGUGCCAAAGAGCUAUUCUUCAUUGGCUUUCACAAGGACAGGGAAUAUGAUGAGGAAUUUCACAUGUGCAAUGGUGCAAAUUGAAUUGACUCUGAACAGAGAAGGACCUGCCUGUUAAUGCACAGAGUCCACACACAGCUGGCUUGCCUACUCCCCCUGAAUACGACAAAAUAUAGGGACCUGGUUUGAAAAAGAAAAUGUUGCCAUUAAGGCAUCUCAUUGUCAGGAAAUCACCCUUUCGCCCUCUUUCCCGGAAACAAGCCGCCUUUGUCCUUGUCCCUCAGCUGAGAUGGUAGAAUAGGCAGCACUAAAUUCUGACCCUGUGUAAGCUCAAUGGAGUUGAGCAUCUGCUAAGACCAGGUCAGAAUUUGGCUCAUGGUCACUUCUGAGACCAGCAAUAAUAUCGCUUUUCAGAUUAGCCGGUGGAAGUGAGCAUUGAUGGUGGGUUCACCACCCUUCCCUCAAUGGUAGCGCAAACAGUACUGUCUCCACUGCCCGCAGGAUCCCCUGAGGUCAUUUUUACCUUUGUCAAUGUAACCUGGAGUGUAGUGCUCUUAUUGAGCUGGGAUACUUUUCACAUAUUGAAACCCAGUGCUAUUGACAGAAAUUGUAAUGGACCAUUGACAGAUUGUUUGGGUUUUUUAUGCAAGUGGUAAAAUAAGAUUUGAAAAAGUCACUUUAUCCGUCAUUCCAGAAAACUGACAUUUUAUUACCCACAUGCCUCUCUGUGCAAGGCCAUAAUUCCAUUUCUCUGUAAGGUUUUCUAUACGUUGGAGGGAGCACUGACCAGGGGCCAAUAAGCAAAUUUAUAUAAUGAAUUUAACCUCCCUAACUUGGUCUGAUUGACAGUGUCUUCUCAAAGGAGCUCCAGGGCUGGAAUGCUCAGAGGGUUACAGGUCAACAGUGAGAAAAGUUGGCAGAACUACAUGGAAGGAAUGAUGAUGGAGUGGACUGGCAGACUUCCUCAUGUGCUCUUGGCCUCCAUUAGUAAGCACUAAAAUUUCACUAAACUAACAAAGUAUAUCAGAGGGGGAGAGAAGAGGGGGAAAGACAGUCACUAGCAAAUGAGGAAAAAGUGGCACUUGUUGAGAUGAGUUCAGCGUGGGUAUAUAACUCAGGCCUAUUGGGACAAAUAUACACCUGACUGAACUCCACUGAAAUCAAUGGAGUUACGCGAGGGGUAAAUCUGGCUUCUUUAUGUAAUCAUGAAGAGCUGUAACACGUGGAAUUGAGCUGUCCAUUUGCCAAUAACAGAAAGUACAGAAAUCCUGUGUGAGUAAUUUUUAUGAGGGUGAUAUAACAUGCUGGAAAAAUGCCCUCCCUUUUUGCUGAU